rnacentral:rRNA from 1 species
UACGUAGGGGGCAAGCGUUAUCCGGAUUUACUGGGUGUAAAGGGAGCGUAGACGGCAGGGCAAGUCUGGAGUGAAAGGCAGGGGCCCAACCCCUGGACUGCUCUGGAAACUGUCCGGCUGGAGUGCAGGAGAGGUAAGUGGAAUUCCUAGUGUAGCGGUGAAAUGCGUAGAUAUUAGGAGGAACACCAGUGGCGAAGGCGGCCUGCUGGACGAUGACUGACGUUGAGGCUCGAAAGCGUGGGGAGCAAACAGG